GGUUAGGAUUUGAGAGCUAGCUUGAAGUUCUUUCCAGAGACAUAAGAAUUGUUUUGAGAGGGUUUUGGAAGACUUAGCAAUUGUUAUUCAAAGUCAGGGUUUGUAUCAAUGAUUUGGAUUUUAUAUAAUAUAAUUAGGGCUAGCAAUUUUGGCUAGUUUGUGCAAUAGGUGCAACAUCUAUAGUUGAAAACUUGAAACUAUUUGGAUUAUUGGGUGAGCUAAGUGUAUACAAAUUUUUGUGAUAAUCUAAUGGCUUGGUUUAGAGAUAUCUAGUUUUUAGGACAAGAGGGUUUUGGAAGGUGGCAGUUUGAGGUUGGAUAGGAUUUCUAUGAUAUCUGAAGAUUUAUUAGUCGGAUUAAGGUGAAAAUUGGCAUGGUAUU
rnacentral:lncRNA from 1 species